AGAUCAUAUUGGCAACAUAUUUGGCAAUAGUUAUGUUGGGGAAUAAUGGCAUCUAAUCUGUCACAUUGGUUUUUAACAACACGAAAAGCUGCUUUCUUCAACCGCUUUCUUGGUAACACAGCUCUCGCUUCACCAGGUCCUCUCUGGAGAGCAUUCAGAAGACUGGACUUCCUGUACAACAAUAUCCCAAUGCUGCUGGCCUCCAGUGCCCCCAGCAGUGGGGCGGGAUAGCAAUCCUAAAGAACAUGGUCAGGUACAUGCUAACAUGGAACUAUGACCCAGUGAGAGAGUCUCUCCCAUCUCCAACAUCUCUUCCCUCCUCAGUGACUCAGUCUUCAGAGUAUGCCGAGCAUCGCCCGUGUCUUCUGGCCCUCUGAGUGCCAGCCUUGGGGUUGACCUCAUUCUGACCUGCAGCCAGCAGAUGGGAGUGUAAUAUCAAUGGUGGCCAGCCAGCUGUGACGUAUGGCCUACUGUCCAAGGUGCUCUCUCCCAAGAAGGUGAGAGAGGGGGCCAAGCUGGCCAUGGAGAAGAAUAAGAGUGGAGGUGCUGGUGGUGCUCCCCAGCCUGGUGAUGAUGCAGGGGACAGGGAAGAGGAAGCCGCUGUACAGUCGUGGCUAAAAGUUUUGAGAAUGAUACAUUCAUUUUCAAAGUUUGCAGACUCAGUUUGUAUGAUGGCAAUUGGCAUAUACUCCAGAAUGUUAGGAAGAGUGAUCAGAUGAAUUGCAAUUAAUUACAAAGUCCCUCUUUGCCACGCAAAUGAACUGAGUCCCCCCAAAACAUUUCCACUGCAUUUCAGCCCUGCCACAAAAGGACCAGCUAACAUCAUGUCAGUGAUUCUGGAGAUCACUGUCAUGCUGAUUGAGUUUGAAUAACAGACUGGAAGCUUCAAAAGGAGGGUGGUGCUUGGAAUCAUUGUUCUGCCUCUGUAACCCAUGGUUACCUGCAAGGAAACUUGUGCUGUCAUCAUUGCUUUGCGCAAAAAGGGCUUCACAAGCAAGGAUAUUGCUGCCAGUAAGAUUGCACCUAAAUUAACCAUUUAUCAGAUAAUCAAAAACUUCAAGGAGAGCGGUUCAAUUGUUGUGAAGAAGGCUUCAGGGCUCCAAGAAAGUCCAGCCAGCGCCAGGACUGUCUCCUAAAGUUGAUUCAGCUGCAGGAUCGGGGCACCACCAGUACAGAGCUUGCUCAGGAAUGGCAGCAGGCAGGUGUGAGUGCAUCUGCACGCACAGUGAGGCAAAGAAUUUUGGAGGAUGGCCUGGUGUCAAGAAGGGCAGCAAAGAAGCCACUUCUCUCCAGGAAAAACAUCAGGGACAGACUGAUAUUCUGCAAAAGGUACAAAAGGAUUGGACUGCUGAGGACUGGGGUAAAGUUGUUUUCUCUGAUGAAUCCCUUUUCAGAUUGUUUGGCAUCCGGAAAAAAGCCUGUCCGGAGAAGACAAGGUGAGCGCUAACAUCAGUCCUGUGUCAUGCCAACAGUAAAGCAUCCUGAGACCAUUCAUGUGUGGGGUUGCUUCUCAGCAAAGGGAGUGGGUUCAAUCACAAUGUUUCCUAAGAACACAGCCAUGAAUAAAGAAUGCUACCAACACAUCCUCCGAGAGCAACUUCUCCCAGCCAUCCAGGAACAGUUUGGUGAUGAACAAUGCCUUUUCCAGCAUGAUGGAGCACCUUGCCAUAAGGCAAAAGCGAUAACUAAGUGGCUCGAGGAACAAAACAUUGAUAUUUUGGGUCCAUUGCCAGGAAACUCCCCAGAUCUUAAUCCCAUUGAGAACUUGUGGUCAAUCUUCAAGAGGCGGGUGGACAAACAACAACCCACAAAUUCUGACAAACUCCAAGCAUUGAUUAUGCAGGAAUGGGCUGCCAUCAGUCAGGAUGUGGCCCAGAAGUUAAUUGACAGCAUGACAGGGCGGAUUGCAGAGGUCUUGAAAAAGAAGGGCCAACACUGCAAAUAUUGACUAUUUGCACCAACUUCGUGUAAUUGUCAAUAAAAGCCUUUGCCGCUUGUAAUUAUACUUCAGUAUUCAAUAGUAACAUCUGGCAAAAAUAUCUAAAGACACUGAGGCAGCAGACUAUGUGAAAAUUCAUAUUUGUGUCAUUCUCAAAACUUUUGUCCACGACUGUAGUCAAGGUGGUGUGUCACCAUACAGAGGAACUGAAAGGAUCUUCUAGAGAGGAAGAGCUCCACAGUGGAAGGGACUGGGUGAUUACAUGUACAUUAGCCAUGGUCUUAAAGUUUGGCACAAUGUAGGUCUAAUCAAAUAAACUAUUCUCAAUGUUUUAAUUUUUGAAAUGUUAUUUAACCUUUAUUUAACUAGGCAAGUCAGUUAAGAACAAAUUCUUAUUUACAAUGAAGGGCCUAGCAGAAGGCAGAAGGCCUCCAGCGGGGCUGGGGGCUGGGAAUUUAAAAAAUAUAAUAUAGGACAAACACACAUCACAAAAAAGAGACAACACUACAUAAAUAGUGACCUAAGAUAACAGCAUGGCAGCAACACAUGACAACAUAGCAUGGUAGCAAUGUAUAACAACGCAUGGCAGUAGCACAACAUGGUAGCAGCACAGAACAUGAUUGAGCAAAAUCAUACUACCCAAUCAUAGUUUCUAUUAGCUCUUAGGACAUAGUUUACAGGUUUGUGUAUAUUGAUUCAUAUUGUAAACUGAUUUAUAUUGAAGCUAUAUGUAUUCAAGCAUAAUUGUAUGUCUCGGAUCCCACUAUCCCUGGGAACUGGGCUCCAUUUCGACCCACACUCAUCAGUGAGAAUCAAGCCAAUCAACUCCUAGAGUAGCCACCAGUAUCUACCUGCAGCCUUUACAACCACAGGUGAGUAAUAUUUACAUUUGACAUCAUAUGUAAUUCUAUUGAAUGUAUUGUUCUGAUUAUCCUAACCUUGUACUUUACAUUUCAUGAGGUAAAUAGAAUGGUGUAACUCAGGGGUAUCAAACUCCAUGGAGGUCUAAGUGUCUGCAGUUUUUUUGUUUGUCUUUUCAAGUAAGACCUAGAAAACCAGGUACGGGGAGUUCUUUACUAAUUAUUGACCUUCAUUAAUCAAUCAAGUACAAGGGAGGAGUGAAAACCCGCAGACACUUGGCCCUACGUGGAAUGAAUUUGACACGUGGUGUAAAUGUAUAGCUCUUUGGCAGCUGGUUGUAUUGAAUGCCAUGUUGCUGUUUGACCCCUGCCCUGGUGUCCUCCUAGCCUGCGGCAGUACGCCCAGAAUGUUGCUAUGGGAACAACCAAGGUAUGUCAGUUUCAAGGUCUCAACUUGGAGAGAGAAGGCCUUGUGAGGUAUUGGUCAGUCACAUGUGCGAGCCACCGGUAAUGAUGAAUUAAUUAUGCUAAAUCAUGCAAAUAUAACUUCUCUGUAUAGCCGUAUAUAAGACAACUGCUGGGACUGCCCCAGCGGAGCUUCUGAUGUGACCUCUCCAGCUUGCUGAUAAUAAAGCUUGUGAUUCAUUUAAGUUUGA